UACAGAGGUCCCAAGCGUUGUUCGGAUUCACUGGGCGUAAAGGGUGCGUAGGCGGUCGGGUAAGUCUGUUGUGAAAUCUCACAGCUUAACUGUGAAACUGCAUUGGAUACUAUCCGGCUCGAGGAAUGGAGGGGAGACUGGAAUACUUGGUGUAGCAGUGAAAUGCGUAGAUAUCAAGUGGAACACCAGUGGCGAAGGCGAGUCUCUGGACAUUUCCUGACGCUGAGGCACGAAAGCCAGGGGAGCAAACGGG
rnacentral:rRNA from 1 species